UACGUAGGAGGCGAGCGUUGUCCGGAGUUACUGGGCGUAAAGGGUGCGCAGGCGGUGGCCCGCGUGGGCGGUGAAAGCUCCUGGCUCAACUGGGAGAGGGCCGUCCAGACGGGGUCACUUGAGGGGCGGAGAGGGGCGUGGAAUUCCGGGUGGAGCGGUGAAAUGCGUAGAGAUCCGGAGGAACACCGACGGCGUAGGCAGCGCCCUAGACGAGACCUGACGCUCAGGCACGAAAGCGAGGGGAGCGAACAGG
rnacentral:rRNA from 1 species